CAUAAAUGAUGAGCAUCAGUUCUGCUUCAGAACAAAAGUUGACGACAUUAUACCAUACCAAAAGCACUGAUAU